rnacentral:rRNA from 1 species
GAUGAACGCUGGCGGCGUGCUUAACACAUGCCAGUCGAACGGUGAAGGCGGAGCUUGCUCUGCUGGAUCAGUGGCGAACGGGUGAGUAACACGUGAGCAAUCUGCCCCUGACUCUGGGAUAAGCGCUGGAAACGGCGUCUAAUACUGGAUACGAGCUGCGAAGGCAUCUUCAGCAGCUGGAAAGAACUUCGGUCAGGGAUGAGCUCGCGGCCUAUCAGCUUGUUGGUGAGGUAACGGCUCACCAAGGCGUCGACGGGUAGCCGGCCUGGGAGGGUGACCGGCCACACUGGGCCUGAGACACGGCCCAGACUCCUACGGGAGGCAGCAGUGGGGAAUAGUGCACAGUGGGCGAGAGCCUGAUGCAGCAACGCCGCGUGGGGGACGACGGCCUUCGGGUUGUAAACCUCUGUUAGCAGGGAAGAAGCGAAAGUGACGGUACCUGCAGAAAAAGCGCCGGCUAACUACGUG